rnacentral:hammerhead_ribozyme from 1 species
AGCCGAAACGGGCCCUGGCCCGUCGCGCGGGAAUGGCCUCCCGCCCCUGAUGAGGCAGGCCGUA